AGUGAACGCUGGCGGUAGGCCUAACACAUGCAAGUCGAACGGCAGCACAGUAAGAGCUUGCUCUUACGGGUGGCGAGUGGCGGACGGGUGAGGAAUACAUCGGAAUCUACUUUUUCGUGGGGGAUAACGUAGGGAAACUUACGCUAAUACCGCAUACGACCUACGGGUGAAAGCAGGGGAUCUUCGGACCUUGCGCGAUUGAAUGAGCCGGUGUCGGAUUAGCUAGUUGGCGGGGUAAAGGCCCACCAAGGCGACGAUCCGUAGCUGGUCUGAGAGGAUGAUCAGCCACACUGGAACUGAGACACGGUCCAGACUCCUACGGGAGGCAGCAGUGGGGAAUAUUGGACAAAGGGCGCAAGCCUGAUCCAGCCAUACCGCGUGGGUGAAGAAGGCCUUCGGGUUGUAAAGCCCUUUUGUUGGGAAAGAAAAGCAGCAGGUUAAUACCCCGCUGUUCUGACGGUACCCAAAGAAUAAGCACCGGCUAACUUCGUG
rnacentral:rRNA from 1 species